GUACGGUUGAUUCGUCCCGUUCCGAUCGGCGCAGGAGCAUAAGAAAAAACAGCUUUUUAGACAAAAUGCUGAAUGGCGGAGC
rnacentral:ncRNA from 1 species